CCUACGGGAGGCAGCAGUGGGGAAUAUUGGACAAUGGGGGCAACCCUGAUCCAGCAAUGCCGCGUGUGUGAAGAAGGCCUGCGGGUUGUAAAGCACUUUCAGAGGGGAUGAAAAAAUCGGAGCUAACACCUCCGAGCUUGACGUUACCCUUAGAAGAAGCACCGGCUAACUCCGUGCCAGCAGCCGCGGUAAU
rnacentral:rRNA from 1 species